rnacentral:misc_RNA from 1 species
AUCCUUCUAGAAUCCCAUCUCUUCUCUUUGAACCAGGUGGUGAAGAGCUUAAGAAACUGAGCGAGAGCGAAGGCAAGGAAAGCAGAGAGGAGAGGGGUGUUGGAGGGAAAAACGGAGGGCUGAGAUGAUGUUGAUCGAAAGCUUGAUGAUGCGUCAGAGCCCGUCAUGACCUCGUCCAUCGAAAGCAAAUGCGUAGGGAGAGAGAAGAAGAAGAAGAAGCUUUAGAGGUUUACCCUUAUGCAAGAAGAGGAAGGUAUUGGAGAAGAUAGUUGCGUCACGAGCAGGGAAAUUGGGUGCGUAUGGGAAUUCGUAUUCUGAUUCUGUACAGGAGGAGGAGGUUUUUCUCAGCCAUUGCCAUCCCACUGAUGACUCCACAU